GACGAACGCUGGCGGCGUGCUUAACACAUGCAAGUCGAGCGGUAAGGCCCCUUCGGGGGUACACGAGUGGCGAACGGGUGAGUAACACGUGAGCAAUCUGCCCUUCACACGGGGAUAACUCCGGGAAACCGAAGCUAAUACCCGAUACGACCACCUCAGGCAUCUGAUGGUGGUGGAAAGUUCCGGCGGUGAAGGAUGAGCUCGCGGCCUAUCAGCUUGUUGGUGGGGUAACGGCCCACCAAGGCAACGACGGGUAGCCGGCCUGAGAGGGUGACCGGCCACACUGGGACUGAGACACGGCCCAGACUCCUACGGGAGGCAGCAGUGGGGAAUAUUGGACAAUGGGCGAAAGCCUGAUCCAGCAACGCCGCGUGAGGGAUGACGGCCUUCGGGUUGUAAACCUCUUUCAGCAGGGACGAAGCGCAAGUGACGGUACCUGCAGAAGAAGCACCGGCCAACUACGUGCCAGCCGCCGCGGUAAUAC
rnacentral:rRNA from 1 species